AUACGUAGGGUGCAAGCGUUAAUCAGAAUUACUGGGCGUAAAGCGUGCGCAGGCGGUUUUGGAAGAAAGAGGUGAAAUCCCCCGGCUCAACCUGGGAAAUGCCUUUGUGACUGCAAGGCUAGAGGACGGCAGAGGGGGGUGGAAUUUCGCGUGUAGCAGUGAAAUGCGUAGAUAUGCGGAGGAACACCGAUGGCGAAGGCAAUCCCCUGGGCCUGUACUGACGCUCAUGCACGAAAGCGUGGGGAGCAAACAGGAUUAGAUACCCUGGUAGUCCACGCCCUAAACGAUGUCAACUGGUUGUUGGGUCUUCAUUGACUCAGUAACGAAGCUAACGCGUGAAGUUGACCGCCUGGGGAGUACGGCCGCAAGGUUGAAACUCAAAUGAAUUGACGGGG
rnacentral:rRNA from 1 species